rnacentral:rRNA from 1 species
ACACAUGCAAGUCGAACGAAAAGAGGGAAAGAGCUUGCUCUUUCCGGAAUUGAGUGGCAAACGGGUGAGUAACACGUAAACAACCUGCCUUCAGGAUGGGGACAACAGACGGAAACGACUGCUAAUACCGAAUAAGUUCCAAGAGCCGCAUGGCCCAUGGAAGAAAAGGUGGCCUCUACCUGUAAGCUAUCGCCUGAAGAGGGGUUUGCGUCUGAUUAGCUGGUUGGAGGGGUAACGGCCCACCAAGGCGACGAUCAGUAGCCGGUCUGAGAGGAUGAACGGCCACACUGGAACUGAGACACGGUCCAGACUCCUACGGGAGGCAGCAGUGGGGAAUCUUCCGCAAUGGGCGAAAGCCUGACGGAGCAACGCCGCGUGAGUGAUGACGGCCUUCGGGUUGUAAAACUCUGUGAUCCGGGACGAAAAGGCAGAGUGCGAAGAACAAACUGCAUUGACGGUACCGGAAAAGCAAGCCACGGCUAACUACGUGCCAGCAGCCGCGGUAAUACGUAGGUGGCAAGCGUUGUCCGGAAUUAUUGGGCGUAAAGCGCGCGCAGGCGGCUUCCCAAGUCCCUCUUAAAAGUGCGGGGCUUAACCCCGUGAUGGGAAGGAAACUGGGAAGCUGGAGUAUCGGAGAGGAAAGUGGAAUUCCUAGUGUAGCGGUGAAAUGCGUAGAGAUUAGGAAGAACACCGGUGGCGAAGGCGACUUUCUGGACGAAAACUGACGCUGAGGCGCGAAAGCGUGGGG